rnacentral:snRNA from 1 species
GUGCACUUCAGCAGCAUAUACGCUAUAAUUGGAAUGAUUCAGAGAUUAACAUGGCCUCUGAACGAGAAUGACAUACCAAUUCAUGAAGCAUCUCAUAAUUUU